rnacentral:rRNA from 1 species
UACGUAGGGUGCGAGCGUUAAUCGGAAUUACUGGGCGUAAAGCGUGCGCAGGCGGUUUUGUAAGCCAGAUGUGAAAGCCCCGGGCUCAACCUGGGAAUGGCAUUUGGGACUGCAAGGCUUGAGUGCGGCAGAGGAGACUGGAAUUCCUGGUGUAGCAGUGAAAUGCGUAGAUAUCAGGAGGAAUACCGAUGGCGAAGGCGGGUCUCUGGACAGUUCCUGACGCUGAAGCACGAAGGCCAGGGGAGCAAACGGG